rnacentral:lncRNA from 1 species
AAUGUGGAGUUAUGAAUACUUGCUCUAUUUAUUCUGGUCAUGACCACACCGGCAAGUGUGUGUGGCUGUGACCAUCAACAGCGGGCAGGAGCCGUUUCCACAGAUGUUUUGAAUUGUGUGGGCUUCCUUUACCUAGAACUUAAAUCUUUCUCCUUUCCUCUUGUUUCUCCAAAUCCAGUUAGAGAAAUGGUCUUGCUACUGAAAGAUCCAUACCUGUCUAAUCCUGAUGACUGAUGACAUUCUUUCUCUAACAAUAAAA